UCCCUGGUGGUCCAGUGGUUAGGACUUGGUGCUUUUACUGCCGAGGACCUGAGUUCAAUCCCUGGUCAGGGAA